rnacentral:lncRNA from 1 species
UAGCUCCUGGGCAAGUCACCUGACCCUUUACCUGAGUUUCCCAUGGCUAAAGCAAGUCAAAUCAGUUCUCUCCUACUGUUUCAGGUAUAAAUGAGAAUUGGUCCUGGGAGAAAUUAAAUUUUAAAAUGGUGACAGAGCAUGUUGCAGGAAGAUAAGAGGAACAUGGAACAAAAAUGAUAAUGACUUCUCAGAGAAUCUGUGACCUGAACAUCAAAAGUCUGAGGCUUUAGAGAUGAAAGGAGAAGAACACUUGACCUCUAUUCUCAAGACGUUUGCAGUUCUGUAGGCACAGGUGGGCUUUCACUAGUGUCAG